AUUAGGACAGAUUUAGUGAGAGUAAUACGAUCAGCCAAAGAUAAGUUCUUCGCAGUCUAUCCAGAUAAUCUACCAUGAAUCUUAUUUUCAUGGUUCCUCCUCGACCCUAGCAUGCAACAAUGGCACUCUAAGAUACUUACCGAGGUCCAUUGUAGCCUUAAAAUCGCACAAGAUAUUGAUGUCCUCUACAGUCGUAGGAGCAACAUUUCUUGAGCAAUAGAUAAGAGUCUUAGCAACACUUAACUUUCUGCCCUGAAGAAGAGGCAAAUUGAGAACAGACAUUAAGAACCACCUCCAUCUGACUAACUGAUGCUUCGGCAAAAAGCAAGAGAUCAUCUGCAAAAAAGAGGUGGGAUAAAGGAGGUCUUCCUUGGGACAGCCAAAUGG
rnacentral:misc_RNA from 1 species